rnacentral:lncRNA from 1 species
CAAAAGUCAAAUGGUCCGCACCUAAAUAAAGCUAGUUUACAGCAGAAAAAAUCACAAUAAAUACACUUUUGAUACUUUUAAAUCAUAAAUAAUCAUAUUAUAAUGACUUAUUUUAGCUUUUGAUUUCAUUUAAAGGAAAAUAAACCGAUCGAAAAUACAAAUAACAGCAUUUCGCGUAUCGACAUUUUUCACUUAGUCAAAUUUACUUUCGUAUAGUGAGCCCAUAGUUGUGUGCACGGUAGAUGGAAAUUCCGAAAAUACCCUUCGAUUCUGCAUGAAAUUCUGUAUCAACAGCCCUAGUUUUCCUUUUUCAUUCAAAAACUGAACCGAGAUAUUCGCCCUUUAAUACUCUAAAACUCGAGUUUUUGCAAUGGUUUUUGCCCUACUAUAGGAAUUUGUGUACAGAGUAGAUGGAAAAUCGGAGAACACCAUUGAAUUCGCCAUAAAAAUCAGCAUCUUUUCAUAGUAAAUAUCUCUAGUCAAUUUAAUAAAGAAAACUUUUUAUCGCGUGUUUACUUCCCAGCUGAUUACAGAAAUAAACUACGGAUGUAGACAAGGGAUACAGCAGCACUUAAAUGGAUAACCAUUUUACUAAUUCAUCAUUAUCAUAAGAUAACCACGGAUGUCCCCAGUUAAUAAUGAUUCAAGAUGGCGUCGGGCAAAUGUGCAUUCCUCGAU